UACGUAGGUGGCAAGCGUUGUCCGGAAUUAUUGGGCGUAAAGCGCGCGCAGGCGGCUUCUUAAGUCUGAUGUGAAAUCUCGGGGCUCAACCCCGAGCGGCCAUUGGAAACUGGGAAGCUUGAGUACAGAAGAGGAGAGUGGAAUUCCACGUGUAGCGGUGAAAUGCGUAGAUAUGUGGAGGAACACCAGUGGCGAAGGCGACUCUCUGGUCUGUAACUGACGCUGAGGCACGAAAGCGUGGGGAUCAAACAGG
rnacentral:rRNA from 1 species